rnacentral:rRNA from 1 species
UACGAAGGGGGCUAGCGUUGCUCGGAAUCACUGGGCGUAAAGCGCACGUAGGCGGAUUGUUAAGUCAGGGGUGAAAUUCUGGAGCUCAACUCCAGAACUGCCUUUGAUACUGAAGAUCUUGAGUUCGGGAGAGGUGAGUGGAACUGCGAGUGUAGAGGUGAAAUUCGUAGAUAUUCGCAAGAACACCAGUGGCGAAGGCGGCUCACUGGCCCGAUACUGACGCUGAGGCACGAAAGCGUGGGGAGCAAACAGG